ensembl:lncRNA
GACGGGGCGGACGGUCGCGGCCGUCGGGGCGUCCCCGCGGGCGCCUCUCGGGGGGCUCCGAGCUGCACCUCGGGGGCCGAGGGGGUGCCACGUUCAAGGAAAAGGAGCGAAGCGAAGUUCACGGCUCCGGGGCUGAUAAAUGUUGCGGGUACAAGGUCACGAUCGAUCACCGCACACUGUCGAGAUGCAUUUCGUGAGUGGAUGCCUCUUCACAAUCGGCUGCAGAGCCGCUGACCCGGGGCUGUCCGGGACGGGGCCGCCCGCGCGCCUCCCGCGGCCCUUUCACCCAUCGCCGCUCCGAGCCUUCGCCCCCUUCUAUUCGGAUUCAAGUAUUUUGUUUCGUGCGCAUUUCCAACCCAUCAAAUCAGCUGCAGGCAUCGUACCGUCUACCAGACCCAGUUUCCUGCCCCGGGACAGAGGAACGGCCACGAUCCCGACGGCUGCAGCCCCCACCCGCGUCUGGGGAGCUCCUGGUGAACCCCCCCGCACCUCCCCCCCCCCCGGCAAACCCCCCCGGGGGUCCUGCGAGAACAGAGCCUGUGGGAACAGUGGGGGCUUUUUCCGCACGUGGAAACAGUGGCAGCUCUGGGUUCGGGGAUCCAGCAAACCCCCCCCCGGGCGUCAUGUAAGUUCUGGGGGAGAGGAGAGGGAGUUCUCAUCAUUUUUAGUGCGAUUGGCAUGGAUGGCGAUAGUGAACAUCUUAAUAAGAGUCUUGUUUCAGCUGUCUACUCCACCAGUCAUCCUAAAGAGCAAGUCUCAAACCAUUACUCUCACAGCUAUUGUGAAUUAUAUGACAGAAAAUACUGCUCAUAACAUCAAGCCAACAUUUAGCCACCCAAAACCAUGUCCUCUCCUCUCCUCUCCUCUCCUCUCCUCUCCUCUCCUCUCCUCUCCUCUCCUCUCCUCUCCUCUCCUCUCCUCUCCUCUCCUCUCCUCUGCUCUCCUCUCCUCUCCUCUCCUCUCCUCUCCUCUCCUCUCCUCUCCUCUCCUCUCCUCUCCUCUCCUCUCCUCUCCUCUCCUCUCCUCUCCUCUCUUUCUCCUCAUCCUGAAGCACCAAUGAUUAGAUUUCCUGACCAAAUGCCAAACUCAGAAGGAGCUUUUAGGUCCUGUUUGACUUUUAGGGUCAAAUCACAACUCCAUCAGGAUUAGACCCAUCUCACAACAGAGCACAUUCUCAGCUUUUGACAUUUUAUGAUUUUAUUUAUUUAUAUAUAUAUAUAUAUAUUAGGAUUUUGAUUUUGGGGGGGGGAUUUUGGAGCUCUCCUGGAGCUGUAAGCAGUCCCAUGGCCCCACAAGCACACCUGUACCCCAACAUCAGGGAGCACCUCCCAGGAAGCCUUCAGAGGGAUCUGAGCAUGGACAUAGAACGAGAUGCAAGGAACUGGGUAAUGACACUGACCCAUGGGACAGCGGUUGUCCCCAGAGCCAGGCCACUUGGAGCUAGCCCAGCCAAAACAGUAGUCCAUGUAGUCACAAUGGCUUUGCCCGCCAUUCUAAAAUGCUUUGAACUCAUUAAUACAAAUGAAGAACUCAGCAUGUCUCCUUGAAGGAAGUGCUUUGGCCCAUGUCCCCUUGCAGAAAAUGUGUUCAUAUCAUUUCUUCAUUGAUUUAUGCUCAGCUUUCAGUUCCACAGAUCUGUGAGUCUGCUGUGUAAGAAGGGGCUGUUGCUGGGACCAGCAUCACCAGGGAGAUGGAGCCUGGGGCUCUGCCUACCCAAAUCCUCACUUGUUGGAUGGACCAUGCCCAAAUUCUGCUUCUGGAAAAGAAAAGGGGGGGUUCAGCAAGGAGUGGGAACCCUCCUACUGGAAAUUUUGUGAAGUCUGCAAAAGACUUUGCUCUCCAUCAAAGGUGCUACAGAAGAUAUUGUGUAAUGAGCUGAUGAGAUCAAGGCAUCUCACCCCCUGGCAACACUUUAAUUGUGCUUUCUAACAAGUUUAGAUCAUUGGGAUAAAUCCCUUUCAUCUUUCUCCUAGGUCAGAUUUAAUCCAAUCCUGUAGGGUUCUCAUGCUUCCCUUAAGCUAGUUCUAUGCAGACUUUGCAGUGGCUGAUGAGCAACAGGGAAGACAAACUCCCUGGCCACAUGCUCAUUCCCAUAGCCUGGAGGAAGGCCCAGGCAUAUGGACCCAUGUGGACAUAACUAUUUCUCAGCCCAGUACACUCUCUCUCUUGAUGUCUCUCCAGUCUGCUUGUAGCGACUCAAGCCUCCACAAGCACAGAGAAGAGCCCAACAUCCAUUGAGCAAUUCCUUGGACAAUGCGAGAUGGUUUGGGUGUGUUCACUUGGAGCUCACAAUGCUUUUGUCCCCUUUGGAAAGGUCUUUCUUAAGUACCUUCCAAUGCAGAUUAAACAACUCUUCCUUGCCAGGUGGGUGAAGGCUGCCUUUGUGCUGGUGGGCUGUUCUAUGCACUCUUCUGUGGCCAUGCUCAGCGGUCAGCAGGUGAUUUCACAGUUAUAGGAUGGUAGAGGUUUUCAGGGACCUCUGGGCCCACCUGUCCCAACCCCUGCUCCAGCUGGGACAUCCAGAGCGGGAUGCCCAGGCCCACAUCCAGGCAGCUUUGGAAGAUAUCCAAAGAGGAGACUCCACGAUCUCUGUGGAGUCAAUUUACAAUGGUUACCACUACUUCUGAACAUCUUCUUGGUUAAACACUAAAGGGAACACUCCCAUAUUUUAGCUAGCUAUGAUGGGCUUGGUUCUAUGUCAUUUUGUCUUUGGAGAUAUUUUAGUCCAAGUCUGAUGCUGUCCAGCUUUGAGCUCCACACUUUACCACCCACUCUCCACCCCAAGUACCUACAGGGCCAAGCUAAGUCAAGAUCUGACACAGGACAUUAAAGGACACAAAAGUCAUGAAU